CAGAGUUUUCUAAACUCCCAACCCAUGUGAACUUACCACUGUUGCCUCGGCGGCGCCCUACUCCCUAGGGGGUGCGGGACCGCCGGUGGAAUACCAAACUCUUUUGAAUUUUUAGCACUUCUGAGUUAAAAACAUAAUAAGUUA
rnacentral:misc_RNA from 2 species